rnacentral:misc_RNA from 1 species
AUAUAUUACAUGUCAAUUAUUCCGUUUUAGGCGUCAUUGCUUGAUCAUAUUUCAUCAGUCCAUAAGAACGAGAAACUCUACAUGUGUCACGGUUGUGGGAAAGAUUUCAGAUACAGGCAUCAGCGAAGGAUGUGUGAAAACAAGCAUAUGGGGAAGUUUAUCCAUCCCUGUACUCUAUGUGAUAAAAAAUUUAAUGAUAAACGACGGUUUGAACAACAUAUGAGAGUUCAUACUGGAGAGAAACCGUUUGCUUGUCCUAUAUGUAGUUUCAGGUGUUCGAGACUAGACAAUUUAAAUCUUCACACUAAAAAGUCGCACGGCGUAACUUGGAAGGAGGCCGAGGGUAUGACUGGGGUAUCAUGUCGAAAUAAGAAUGAUCACGACCCUCUUGCUCUUCCUCCUGUUUACAAUAUCAUCCCUGUUGACCGGGGCCAGGACGAGCUUCAGCAUUUCAACCUUCUCAUAGAACCUGUGAAAACUGAACCCUACAAGAUCCUGGCCAGCACAACAAAUUUGUAAAAUUUGAAGUUUAUUUGUUUCUGAAACGGUCUUAUUUCAAGUGACCCUCCAUGCAAAGAUGGCAAUGCCUGAUUCACAACGACGUGCCACCAUAUAUAGAGCGUCAUAUGAAAUUACGUAUACAAUCCUUUAAAAACUUAAACAAUGC